UACAGAGGUCUCAAGCGUUGUUCGGAUUCAUUGGGCGUAAAGGGUGUGUAGGUGGCGCCGUAAGUCGGGUGUGAAAUUUCGGAGCUUAACUCCGAAACUGCAUUCGAUACUGCGGUGCUUGAGGACUGGAGAGGAGACUAGGAAUUCAUGGUGUAGCAGUGAAAUGCGUAGAGAUCAUGAGGAAGACCAGUGGCGAAGGCGGGUCUCUGGACAGUUCCUGACACUGAGACACGAAGGCCAGGGGAGCAAACGGG
rnacentral:rRNA from 1 species